rnacentral:rRNA from 1 species
UGGGGAAUUUUGGACAAUGGGCGCAAGCCUGAUCCAGCCAUGCCGCGUGCAGGAUGAAGGCCCUCGGGUUGUAAACUGCUUUUGUACGGAACGAAAAGCCUCUUUCUAAUAAAGAGGGGUGAUGACGGUACCGUAAGAAUAAGCACCGGCUAACUACGUGCCAGCAGCCGCGGUAAUACGUAGGGUGCGAGCGUUAAUCGGAAUUACUGGGCGUAAAGCGUGCGCAGGCGGUCUUGCAAGACAGUGGUGAAAUCCCCGGGCUCAACCUGGGAACUGCCACUGUGACUGCAAGGCUGGAGUACGGCAGAGGGGGAUGGAAUUCCGCGUGUAGCAGUGAAAUGCGUAGAUAUGCGGAGGAACACCGAUGGCGAAGGCGGUCCCCAGGGCCUGUACUGACGCUCAUGCACGAAAGCGUGGGGAGCAAACA